UAGAACCAAAUUGGGUAAUUGGCAAAUUUGAUUUCUGAGCAUGCUCAAGGAACUUUGCCAAGCAACACAAAGACCAACCUAAGAAAGCAUGUGAAUGCUAUAGCAUUGAGGAGUGAAAAACAGUUAGUGAAUUAGAACCAAGGAAGAUAACACAAGUAGAUGAGAGCAACCCAAACAAGGAAGAAGAAGAAAAAAAAAAAAGAGAUCAAGAGAUGGAGCUACCUAAUCGAGGGGGAGAACACUUGAACAUUCCAUAUUCGAGGAGAUUAAAGCAAUAAAAAAAAGUAAUUUGGUAA
rnacentral:lncRNA from 1 species